rnacentral:misc_RNA from 1 species
GUGAAUCAUCGAAUUUUUGAACGCAAAUUGCACUCUCUGGCAUUCCGGAGAGUAUGCAUGUUUGAGGGUGAGUAUAAUCAAAAUCGGAGCGAUGCUUUGUGGGUGACGCACCGGAGUUUGGGUGAUAAUAAGUCUUUGUGUUAAGAGACCUAAAAUUAAGAGUCUUUUUUGCUGAGUUUUGAGACGUACAUAAUUUUUGUUUAUUCGUCUACCAUGGUGGCAAAAAGUUUAUUAGAUGGUGAAUAACGUAGAGUGGACU